rnacentral:rRNA from 1 species
GUUGUAUAGUCAAGUAAUUAAGUGCAUGUGGUGGAUGCCUUGGCAGUCAGAGGCGAUGAAAGACGUGAUAGCCUGCGAAAAGCUCCGGGGAGGCGGCAAAUAUCCUUUGAUCCGGAGAUGUCUGAAUGGGGGAACCCACCUACUUUAAGGUAGGUAUUGCAACAUGAAUACAUAGUGUUGCAAGGCGAACGAGGGGAAGUGAAACAUCUCAGUACCCUUAGGAAAAGAAAUCAAUUGAGAUUCCCUCAGUAGCGGCGAGCGAACGGGGAUCAGCCCAUUAAGUUAUGUGUGUUUUAGUGGAACGCUCUGGGAAGUGCGAACGUAGAGGGUGAUAUUCCCGUACACGAAAGGGCACACAUAAUGAUGACGAGUAGGGCGAGGCACGUGAAACCUUGUCUGAAUAUGGGGGGACCAUCCUCCAAGGCUAAAUACUCCUGACUGACCGAUAGUGAACCAGUACCGUGAGGGAAAGGCGAAAAGAACCCCUGUGAGGGGAGUGAAAUAGAUCCUGAAACCGCAUGCAUACAAGCAGUGGGAGCACCUUCGUGGUGUGACUGCGUACCUUUUGUAUAAUGGGUCAGCGACUUAUAUUCAGUAGCGAGGUUAACCGUAUAGGGGAGCCGUAGAGAAAUCGAGUCUUAAUAGGGCGUUUAGUUGCUGGGUAUAGCCCGAAACCAGGCGAUCUAUCCAUGAGCAGGUUGAAGGUUGGGUAACACUAACUGGAGGACCGAACCCACUGUCGUUGAAAAGCCAGGGGAUGACUUGUGGAUAGGGGUGAAAGGCUAAUCAAGCCUGGUGAUAGCUGGUUCUCCCCGAAAGCUAUUUAGGUAGCGCCUCGGACGAAUACCAUAGGGGGUAGAGCACUGUUUCGGCUAGGGGGUCAUCCCGACUUACCAAACCGAUGCAAACUCCGAAUACCUAUGAGUACUAUCCGGGAGACAGACUGCGGGUGCUAACGUCCGUAGUCAAGAGGAAAACAAUCCAGACCGCCAGCUAAGGCCCCAAAAUCAUAGUUAAGUGGGAAACGAUGUGGGAAGGCAUAGACAGCUAGGAGGUUGGCUUAGAAGCAGCCACCCUUUAAAGAAAGCGUAAUAGCUCACUAGUCGAGUCGGCCUGCGCGGAAGAUGUAACGGGGCUAAAACUAUGUGCCGAAGCUGCGGAUGUAUACUUUGUAUACGUGGUAGGGGAGCGUUCUGUAAGCCGAUGAAGGUGUGUUGAGAAGCAUGCUGGAGGUAUCAGAAGUGCGAAUGCUGACGUGAGUAACGACAAAACGGGUGAAAAACCCGUUCGCCGAAAGACCAAGGGUUCCAGUCCAACGUUAAUCGGGGCUGGGUGAGUCGACCCCUAAGGCGAGGCCGAAAGGCGUAGUCGAUGGGAAAAUGGUUAAUAUUCCAUUACUUCUGUGUAAUGCGAUGAGAGGACGGAGAAGGCUAAAUCAGCCUGGCGUUGGUUGUCCAGGUGAAAGGAUGUAGGCAUGUAUCUUAGGCAAAUCCGGGGUACUCUAUGCUGAGAUCUGAUAGCAAGCUGUACUUGUACAGCGAAGUGGUUGAUGCCAUGCUUCCAGGAAAAGUCUCUAAGCUUCAGUUACACAGGAAUCGUACCCGAAACCGACACAGGUGGUCAGGUCGAGUAGACCAAGGCGCUUGAGAGAACUCUGCUGAAGGAACUAGGCAAAAUGGUACCGUAACUUCGGGAGAAGGUACGCUGUUGUUGGUGAUGGAACUCGCUUCCUGAGCUGACGACAGCCGCAGAAACCAGGCCGCUGCAACUGUUUAUUAAAAACAUAGCACUCUGCAAACACGAAAGUGGACGUAUAGGGUGUGAUGCCUGCCCGGUGCUGGAAGGUUAAUUGAUGGGGUUAGCGUAAGCGAAGCUCUUGAUCGAAGCCCCAGUAAACGGCGGCCGUAACUAUAACGGUCCUAAGGUAGCGAAAUUCCUUGUCGGGUAAGUUCCGACCUGCACGAAUGGCAUAAUGAUGGCGGCGCUGUCUCCAGCAGAGGCUCAGUGAAAUCGAAAUCGCUGUGAAGAUGCAGUGUACCCGCGGCUAGACGGAAAGACCCCGUGAACCUUUACUGCAGCUUGACACUGAACUUUGACCUUACUUGUGUAGGAUAGGUGGGAGGCUUUGAAGCUGGAACGCUAGUUCCAGUGGAGCCGUCCUUGAAAUACCACCCUGGUAAUGUUGAGGUUCUAACUCUGUCCCGUGAUCCGGGACGAGGACCGUGUCUGGUGGGUAGUUUGACUGGGGCGGUCUCCUCCUAAAGAGUAACGGAGGAGUACGAAGGUGCGCUCAGCGUGGUCGGAAAUCACGCGUAGAGUAUAAAGGCAAAAGCGCGCUUAACUGCGAGACCCACAAGUCGAGCAGGUACGAAAGUAGGUCUUAGUGAUCCGGUGGUUCUGUAUGGAAGGGCCAUCGCUCAACGGAUAAAAGGUACUCUGGGGAUAACAGGCUGAUACCGCCCAAGAGUUCAUAUCGACGGCGGUGUUUGGCACCUCGAUGUCGGCUCAUCUCAUCCUGGGGCUGAAGCAGGUCCCAAGGGUAUGGCUGUUCGCCAUUUAAAGAGGUACGCGAGCUGGGUUUAGAACGUCGUGAGACAGUUCGGUCCCUAUCUACCGUGGGCGCUGGAAAUUUGAGAGGAUCUGCUCCUAGUACGAGAGGACCAGAGUGGACGAACCUCUGGUGUACCGGUUGUGACGCCAGUCGCAUCGCCGGGUAGCUAUGUUCGGAAGGGAUAACCGCUGAAAGCAUCUAAGCGGGAAGCCUACCUCAAGAUAAGAUUUCCCUAGGACUUUAUGUCCUCUAAAGAGCCGUUCGAGACUAGGACGUUGAUAGGUUGGAUGUGGAAGCAUAGUGAUAUGUGAAGCUGACCAAUACUAAUUGCUCGUGAGGCUUGACUAUACAACACCCAAGCAGUUG